CUCGACUCUUAGUUCCACCUAUCUUGCUUUCCUAUUGGCUAACAGUACUUUAUUUAUCAACCAAUAAGACAAACAUAUAUACAGAAGGACCUCCCCCAUAAAAAGAUUUUCAAUAAAAGGAAAGAAUGUUGCUGAGGCUUCAGCUGACACAGCAAUAUCAAAGCAUUCAAACAGAAGAAUGACAGCUGGAAAGGGACAAGCUUGGAAGAAAGUCCAAUUUAUAUCUCCCAUUAUAAAGAAGACUAUAUGUUGUCAAUGCUAAACCUGCAACAGGUAACUGAAAACAAGUUUAAAAGCCUUCAUCCAGCAGCGGAUGGAAGUAGAAGCAGACACCCACAGCUAAACAGUGAACUGAACUGGAAUCCAGUUGCAGAGAAGGAGUGAUGAGCAAAGGGGUCCAUACCAGGCUGGUGAAACCCACAGAAACAGCUGAUCUGAACAAUUAGGUGCUCUUGGUCCCCAGACUGAUCACUGGAAACCAGCAUGGAACUGAUCCAGACCCCAUGAACAUGGGUGUCCAUGAUGAGGCCUCAGAAAUCUAUGGGGCCUCUUGUAGUAGGUCAGUACUUAUCCCUAGCAUAGGUGUGGACUUUGGGAGCCCAUUCCACAUAGAGGGAUACUCUCUGAGCCUAGACACAUGAGGGAGGGCCUAGGCCCUAUCCCAGAGGAUAUGACAGACUUUUAAGAUCCCCCAUGGAAGGCCUUGCCCUCCCUGGAGAGCAGAGAGGGUAUGGGAUAGGUAGGAUGUUAGUGGGGGGGCAGGGGAGAAGGAGAGGGAGAGGGAACUGGGAUUGACAUGUAAAACAAUCUUGUUUCUAAUUUAAAUAAAAAUGGAAAAAGUAAACAGAUAAAAUAAUAAUUCUGUUUCUUUUUUGAAUUUUCAGUUGGAUGCUGAGUUUAACUGACUUUCUUUGCAAAACUUCCAGGAGCUAGUUCCUUACAUAAGAAUCUCACAGAGCCUUCAUCCAGUAGCUGAUGGAAGCAGAGGCAAACACCCACAGCUAAUCAUUGAACUGAACUCUGGAAUCCAGUUGCAGAGAAGGAGGAAUGAUGGGCAAAAGGGUCAAGACCAGGCUGGAGAAACCCACAGAAACAGCUGACCUGAACAAGGGGGAGUUCAUAGACCCAAGACUGACAACUGGGAAAACAACAUAGGACUGUUCCAGGUCCCCUGAGUGAAGACAUCAGUUUGGAGGUCUGCUUAAUCUAUGGAGCCUCUUGUAGUAGAUCAGUACUUAUCCCUACCAUAGGAAUGGACUUUGGGAGCUCAUUUCACAUAGAGGGAUACUCCCUCAGCCUAGACACACGGGGGAGGGCCUAGGCCCUGCUCCAAAUGAUAUGACAGACUUUGAAGAUCCUCCAUGGAAAGGGUAUAGGAUAGGGGCUUGGUGGAGGACAGGGGAGGGAGAGAGAACUG
rnacentral:lncRNA from 1 species